AGCCCCUGGCAACCACUGUCUACUUUCUGUCUCCAUGGAUUUGACUACAGCGUGUCUAAGUGGGAUCAUUCAGUAUUUGUCCUUUUGUGACUGGCCUAUUUCACCCCUCUGUUUUAUACCUUUCUGCGGCAUGGCGCUUUGGCUUUCUAUGUUCUGCGGCGGUGGGUGGUAAAGUGGAUGUCCUGCUUUUAAUUCUGAGGGCUCGCUUCUCAGUUUUCAAAAACACACUUUAAUCUCUGGUUCUCCAAUUAUCAAGCAUUUGCCAUGAAAUGAUACUUGCUGCUCCCUAGCACUGCAGACUCUGUAAGAGACAUCUCAGUCAGCAUUCGGAUUAAGUCAAGCCCCAGGAAUCCGCACCUCCUCCACCUCAUCACCCAGUAAAAAAAGGUAACGCUGAGGUAUGAGAACAUUCACAUUAGUUCCAUACGCACGCCCUCGCAUGGGCCUGAGAGCACCCAGGUUCUGGUGCGAGUCCCCCACAGCCCAGGGAGGUGUUUCAGGACUAGCGCCCUGCUCAGUGCUGUGGGCUGCACAAGGGGCCAACUGAGGACUCCUCAGCCCAGGAGGGGCAGAGGCUGGGGACCACCCCAUGGGCUUCCAAGAUGGCCUUGGGGCCACAGGGAUUAUGGACAGGCUUGUACCUCCAAAGCCUUUCCAGAGAGGAAGGGACUCCACUUCCUGCUUUGGCUUGGAAAAAGUCCAGGGAAGCACCUUGAUUGGCCUGACUCAGGUCACAUGACAUUCCCUCUGUCCAAUCACUGUGGCCAAGAGAAUGAGAUAUUGUCAUUGGCCCAGCCAGGAUCAGAGCUUUCCCCUGCUGCCUGGAGCAGGUCUGUCUCCAGGAGAGAGGGCUAGCCUUCAGCCUUACCUGCUGCCCCGUGAAGAACUGUCAGUCCUACUUUGCAGGUGGAGAAAUUGAGGCCCCAAGCAGGGGAAGACUCACUGGGGUCACAUGACACAUGCUGGCCAACCCAGGCCCUGCUCAUGUUUCAGCACAAUGACCCUGCUCUGCCUCCCUCCCCAAGACUCUGGGCUGUGCAACCGGGGCCAGACCUGCUCCUUCAGCUGCACCAAAGCCUGGCUGUGCCUCUGCGUGUCAGUGGCCAAGCCCUAAGCCUGGAGCCGUCCAGAGCCGCACGGAACUCCAGGCCUGCAGGGUGGAGUAGACAUGGCUCCUCCUGGGUCGUACACCACCUCGUUAGAGCCAAAGCAGCAUCGAUUUUGUGAAUGAUGAGCAUGUCGUUGUGUCCAAGCCAGGCAGAUGCAGCUGAGCAGUGGCAGAUGGGCAUGGAGCCGGGAUGUCCACUCCCUGGGCCCUGGCUGUGGAUGGGCCAGAGGGCUCAGGUGCCAUUUCAGUUGGCCAGGGAAGGUGCAUUUGGAGAGUGUCAACAUACUGUUUGUCUUCUGCUGUGCAAAGUCUUCUCAACUUGUAAUUUAAAGAUAAAAUUGUU